CCUACGGGAGGCAGCAGUCGAGAAUUAUUCACAAUGGGGGAAACCCUGAUGGUGCGACGCCGCGUGGGGGAAUGAAGGUCUUCGGAUUGUAAACCCCUGUCAUGUGGGAGCAAAUUAAAAUGACAGUACCACAAGAGGAAGAGACGGCUAAAUCUGGGCCAGCAGCCGUGGUAAUACAGAGGUCUCAAGCGUUGUUCGGAAUCACUGGGCGUAAAGUGUGCGUAGGUGGUUUCGUAAGUCGUGUGUGAAAGGCGCGGGCUCAACCCGCGGACGGCACAUGAUACUGCGAGACUAGAGUAAUGGGGGAGGAACCGGGAUUCUCGGUGUAGGAGUGAAAUGCGUAGAUAUCGAGAGGAACACUCGGGGCGAAGGCGGGUUCCUGGACAUUAACUGACGCUGAGGCACGAAGGCCAGGGGAGCGAAAGGGAUUAGAUACCCCAGUAGUC
rnacentral:rRNA from 1 species